ACGCUCGACACCUACGGGGGGCAGCAGUGGGGAAUAUUGCACAAUGGGGGAAACCCUGAUGCAGCGACGCCGCGUGAGCGAAGAAGUAUUUCGGUAUGUAAAGCUCUAUCAGCAGGGAAGAAACUGACGGUACCUGACUAAGAAGCACCGGCUAAAUACGUGCCAACAGCCGCGGUAAUCUGAGCGGGCUGGCAAGGC
rnacentral:rRNA from 1 species